rnacentral:lncRNA from 1 species
CAAAGGAAGAAAAGGGAAAAAAAGAAGAAGAACAAAAACCUAGCUAAGAAAUUCAAGAGAAAUUCACAAAAUUUUAAAGAAUCAAGUGACAAAAGGUAAAAUUUCUUGAUUUUGACUUGUGAUCUACCUAUCCCAUGCAUCCUUUUUGAUUUUCCAUGGUUGAAUCAUAUGGUUUCAUGAUGGGUCUCUUGCUGGCCGGACAUGGGGGGAGGAGUUUUGAUGCUUGAUUUGGUUAGAUUUCAAUGUAUUUUAGUGUUUUUAGUUAGUUAGUGAAGUGUGGCAUGAAAAACCAACAAGAAAAAUUCAUUUUCUCCCAUUACCCAUCAUUGGCCGAAUUCUCCAUGUGGAAUAUUGAUGAUGAUUUUGAUUGUUAUUUCGAGUGAUUUGGUUAGGAAAUAAUGAAUUUCGGUGAGAAAAUCGACUAGGAAAAAUCAUAGUGUUGAUGCACCCACCAUGGUCGAAAUUCCCAACAGAAAAUGUGAAGGUGAUGUUGCUAAAUUUUAUGCUAUUGAAUUUGUGAUUGAUGGUUUGGAGAAUUGGAAGAAAAAUGGAGUUAAUUGAAGUUGAAUUGGCCAAUUAAUUAAGUGAUAGAUCGAAUUAGGCAAACACCGUGUUUAGACGAUAAUUCGAACAAUUUGCAUUCCAUUUCAUGCAUCCAUAUAGUUUUAUAACGGUUUAGCACUAAUGUGGUAAAUUGCUUGAUUUUGCAUCAUGUCUAGGUGGUGAAUCCUCCGCUAAGGGCAAAGAAAUUGUACCCGAGGAUCGGUAGUCAGAGUACUUUAAAAAAUUCAACUUCCGAGAUAGUGAGUAACCCUACUAUCAUUUUAAUUAUCUAAAGUGGUUUUUAUCCGAUUUUGUGAAUUUUAUGGAAAAUGAGUUUAAAUGGUUAAUUUUUAGGUUUUAUAAACAAAAUGUGUUUAAAUGAAAUGAUUUUAAAAAUUGUCUUGAAAUUGAAUGAGGAAUUUGAAAAUAGAGUAAUUGGAGACCAUUUGAUGUGUUGUAAAUUUAUGGUUCUAAUUGAUGGCUUAUGAUAAUGUGUUGGCAUGACUGGCUGGAAUUGUGGUUUGUGAACUGUAUGAUUUGUUCUGUUUUACAUUUACAGGUUGGGUAGUAUAAUAUUAGUCAUGUCAUGCUGUCAAAAUUUUAUUGUAUGGUGGGUUUAGCUUGCUGCAGUGGGCGGGUUCCGUGGACCAGCCUAUUAGAGGGGCACGAAAUCCGGUUAUAUAUGUACCUUGAUCGGAGAGGCGCGUAGGGUAUCUCCUGAGGUAUGGUUAGAGUUCACGUCACGCCGAACCACCUCGUGAUGAUGAACUCCGCUAACGCCAAGGGACGGCUGUGUUUUCCAAACUAAAAAUAUGUUUAUGUGUAUACGAAAUUUUUAACAACCUUGGCGGACUCGGUUAAAUGCCUCGGCCAAGGUAUUCCCGAAAAUGAUUUUGGCAGGAGCCAAGCUUUUAAGAUACUCAUAAGCCAUGUUGAUUAUUUAAAUGAAAUGAAUAUUUAUGUUAUGAAAUACAUAUUGAGAUUGACUAUUUUAAUCGUCUCCAUUUACUCGACUUUAGAUAUUUUGGAUGAUGUUUGUUUACUCACUGGGAUUAUAUAAUCUCACCACCCUUCUUUUCACCCAUAUCAGGCUCAGAAUAGGCUGUGGAUAGUUGGUUUCAUCGAGGCUACCAUUGGAUUUGCAUCCUCUAAAUUGUAGGUUCACAGUUUUCCUUACUUUUGGUUAUUCGGGGGUCCACUGGUUAUUGUAAAUUAAAUUAAAUACUCUGGCUUACUGUAUUACAGUAUGUAUGAAUUUAUUUUGCUUUUACGCUGCAAAAAUUAUUUACGUAUAACUC